UUAGGUGACUGUACAACAGUGACCCUCAGUGGAGGAGAGGGACUUUGGAGUUGAUUUAUGUGCAGUGGAGAGCACCAGGAGUCCAAACUGAGCAUCUGCAGCUGAUUGUUGUUCUAAUGAAUAGUGUUUGGUAAAGGUAUGGGUUGAUGCCCAGGUAGCUGCUUUACAAAUGUCUGUGAUGGGUACAUUAUUGAGAAAGAUCACAGACAUGGAUAGCGCUCUGGUGGAGUGUGCACAAAGUCCAGAGGAAGCUUGCAGAUUAUAGUUUGGGCAACAUAACUUGAUACAUACAGAUAUCCAUUUAGGUAGUCUCUGCUUGGAGAUGGUUUGGCCCUGGAAACGUUCUGUUGUAGAUACGAAUAGUCUGGAUGAUUUUCUAAAUGUUUUUGUUCUUUCUACAUAGAAUGCUAGCAUUCUGAGAAUGUCCAGAGUGUGAAGGGAGGCCUUCCUGUUAUCAGAAUGAGUUUUGGGGAAAAAUACAGAACAGUGUGUCUCAAGUUCCAUCAUCCAUGGAUUGGCCAGGCCUCGAGACGGAGUACUGAAAUGUUGGGGUGCUGAAGGUGUCCUGCAUCAGCAGAUGAAGCACAAGGGUUCGUGAUGGUGUCACCGCCAUCUGUUUCAGGGACUCAGAUUCCAAGUGUCUUUAAUGUUGCCCAGGACUCCUUCAAGGUAUGCAAGGAGAUGUCUGUGCUUGCUGGAAAAAAAAUUUGGCCUUCAAAAGGUAAGGUCCUCUAUGGUUGCUUGAAAUUCCCUGGAAAACCCGGAAAGAUGGAGGCAGGAAGCCCUACACAUGAUUACGAAUAUAGCAACGGAUUAUGCCACCAUGUCAGCAGAAUCAAGAGAAGCCUGCAGGGCCGUUCUGGCAAUGAGGGAACCUUCUGCAAUGUUGGCCUUGUAUUAUUCCUUUUUGUC